rnacentral:rRNA from 1 species
AUGGAACAUAACAAAGCUCCAGGCCCAGAUGGAUUCCCCGCAGAAUUCUAUCAGAAUUUCUGGGAUAUCAUCAAGGAUGACCUUAUGGAGUUGUUCAAUUGUCUUCAUGCCGAUCGACUUGAGCUAUUUAGGCUUAAUUUUGGCGAGAUUGUCUUGUUGCCAAAGAUUAAGGAGGCUGAACGGAUCCAGCAGUUCAGACCCAUAUGCCUCCUUAAUGUCAGCUUCAAGAUUUUCACCAAAGUGAACCUAAGUGGAGUAGCAUUCAAAAUUGACUUUGAAAAAUCCUAUGACAAGGUCAAAUGGUCUUUUCUCCAACAGGCCCUAAGGAUGAAAGGUUUCUCUGAAAAAUGGUGCAACUGGAUCCAAAAUUUUGUAACUGGAGGUAGUGUGGCCAUCAAAGUCAAUGAUGAUGUAGGUCAUUACUUCCAAACAAAAAAAGGACUACGGCAGGGUGACCCCAUGUCCCCAAUGUUAUUUAACAUUGUGGCUGACAUGUUGGCUAUUCUGAUUGAGCGCGCCAAGCAGGACGGGCAAAUUGCUGGGGUAGUGCCA